rnacentral:rRNA from 1 species
AACGAACGCUGGCGGCGUGCUUAACACAUGCAAGUCGAGCGGUAAGGCCCUUUCGGGGGUACACGAGCGGCGAACGGGUGAGUAACACGUGGGUGACCUGCCCUCAGCUCUGGGAUAAGCCUGGGAAACCGGGUCUAAUACUGGAUAUGACUCCAUGACGCAUGUUGUGGGGUGGAAAGCCUUGUGCGGCUGAGGAUGGGCCCGCGGCCUAUCAGCUUGUUGGCGGGGUGAUGGCCUACCAAGGCGACGACGGGUAGCCGGCCUGAGAGGGCGACCGGCCACACUGGGACUGAGACACGGCCCAGACUCCUACGGGAGGCAGCAGUGGGGAAUCUUGCGCAAUGGGCGAAAGCCUGACGCAGCGACGCCGCGUGAGGGAUGACGGCC